rnacentral:rRNA from 1 species
UAUUGGUCAAUGGGCGCGAGCUUGAACCAGCCAAGUAGCGUGAAGGAUGACGGCCCUAUGGGUUGUAAACUUCUUUUAGAUGGGAAUAAAGUGCAAUAUGUAUACUGCUUUGCAUGUACCUUAUGAAUAAGGAACGGCUAACUACGUGCCAGCAGCCGCGGUAAUACGGAGGAACCGAGCGUUAUCCGGAUUUAUUGGGUUUAAAGGGAGCGUAGGCGGGUUGUUAAGUCAGUUGUGAAAGUUUGCGGCUCAACCGUAAAAUUGCAGUUGAUACUGGCAUCCUUGAGUACAGUAGAGGUAGGCGGAAUUCGUGGUGUAGCGGUGAAAUGCUUAGAUAUCACGAAGAACUCCGAUUGCGAAGGCAGCCUGCUGGACUGUAACUGACGCUGAUGCUCGAAAGUGUGGGUAUCAA